rnacentral:rRNA from 1 species
UACGGGGGGGGCAAGCGUUGUUCGGAAUUACUGGGCGUAAAGGGCUCGUAGGCGGCCAACUAAGUCGGACGUGAAAUCCCCAGGCUCAACCUGGGAACUGCGUUCGAUACUGGAUGGCUUGAAUCCGGGAGAGGGAUGCAGAAUUCCAGGUGUAGCGGUGAAAUGCGUAGAUAUCUGGAGGAAUACCGGUGGCGAAGGCGGCAUCCUGGACCGGCAUUGACGCUGAGGAGCGAAAGCGUGGGGAGCGAACAGG